rnacentral:rRNA from 1 species
AUACGGAGGGCGCAAGCGUUAUCUGGAUUUAUUGGGUUUAAAGGGUGCGCAGGCGGACCUGUCAGUCAGUGGUGAAAUCCCGGGGCUCAACCCCGGAACUGCCAUUGAUACUACAGGUCUUGAAUACGGUUGAAGUAGGCGGAAUGUAGCAUGUAGCGGUGAAAUGCAUAGAUAUGCUACAGAACACCGAUCGCGAAGGCAGCUUACUAAGCCGAUAUUGACGCUCAGGCACGAAAGCGUGGGUAGCGAACAGGAUUAGAUACCCCUGUAGUCC